CCUACGGGUUGCAGCAGGCGCGAAACCUUUACACUGCGGGAAACCGCGACAAGGGGACACCGAGUGCCAGCAUACAAUGCUGGCUGUCCACAUGUGUAAAUAGCAUGUGAUAGCAAGGGCCGGGCAAGACCGGUGCCAGCCGCCGCGGUAACACCGGCGGCCCGAGUGGUAAUCACUAUUAUUGGGUCUAAAGGGUCCGUAGCCGGUUUAAUCAGUCUUCCGGGAAAUCUGACAGCUCAACUGUUAGGCUCCCGGGGGAUACUGUUAGACUUGGGACCGGGAGAGGUAAGAGGUACUACAGGGGUAGGAGUGAAAUCUUGUAAUCCCUGUGGGACCACCAGUGGCGAAGGCGUCUUACCAGAACGGGUCCGACGGUGAGGGACGAAAGCUGGGGGCACGAACCGGAUUAGAUACCCGAGUAGUC
rnacentral:rRNA from 1 species